GAGGCUUGUUUUCUGGCGUCUCUGACUGGCCGGCUCCUUUUGCGCAGACCUAAUGUCCUUUCACCUGAUAGUCACUCCCUCAGCCUUGGGACGGUCUGAGACCGGGAGGCUGUAACCUGUGGCUCCACUGGCCGGGGUGCGCUAAUAUUUUUCUCGUUUCCAUCAAAGGACUAAAGUUCUGGAAAAGGAGCCAAUCCUGGUGGAUCCUUCAGGUGAUAGAGACUCCAGGUCUGUGUCAGCCGGGAAGAAAUGAGAUAUAAGCAGCUGAGAACAUCACCUUGAAAAAACAAAUCAUGAUGUAUUCCUAUGUUUCUCUGUUGGUGAACAUUUACGUUGCGUAUUUCCACAGUGGAGAAGAGCUAUCAGGCUUCCUAUAUUAGAGACCAUCACAGGGCAUCCUUGGGAGCAGUGACCUGAAGAUGGACAAGCCAUAGGAUGGAAGGAGCUGCAUCUCUGAGUCACCACUGGAGAACAGUCACCCCCAAUGGAUUUGGAGAGAAGUCUUCUCUAAUAUUCACUUCUAAGUCCCCAUUGUAAUCAACUUCUUUUAUUCUCCUAGCACUCAGUGUGGUUUAGGUUGAAUUCUAGAUUCUUAUAAUAUCUUGGACAUGGAUAAUAAGGAAAAGACCUUCACAGAUAUGUAAGGCAAAGCAGAUCAAGACAAGCAGAGCAGGCUGAGUGCAGUAAGACUUCACAGGGUAAAGGACGGCCUUGCAGAAGAGCAGAGCAGUGGUGCAGAGGUAGGCCGCUGAAGGAGGUAGGUCCUCGGGUCAUGCCAGUACCCACCAGAGAUUGGCAGCACUAUUUAGAGAAACUGAGAAAAAGCUCUACCUACUGCAGUCACAAAAGACUGGGCUCAGAAUGGUGGGUAAAUCAGGGAUUAACAUCUCCGUUUGAUGGAUGAGGAAAUUAAGUUUAUAGAGAUUAGAAUGUUGACCUAAUACAGUACCUUAUUUCAUGGUAGAAGCACAGUAAAUAUUUGUUGAAUGGAUGUACUAAUCUAAGACCUUUAAUGCUUAAGCCUCUACCAGGGAUUGAAAAUUUGCCUAUUGGGUGAUCUGUAGGGCUGUUACUGGUAGUCAGGAAGACAUGUGGUUGGGUACAGUGUUUUUAAAAGUUUGGAUGUUAAGUGUGCUCUUCAGUAUGCCCUGAGCCUUACCACUCCCUACUGCCUUGUAACUCACCCAGUUACCAUGUAACAUCAUCCAUCUCUCUCCUAUGGCUUUAGUUGUAUGGAUUCCUUGCUUACACUUUCCUGUUCACAAGUCCCUCUUUAAAUAGAGUUUAUUCCUAACCCUGUCAUUAGCCCUUUCCCAUCUCCUUCCUGCAGUUAUCUUCCCUCUUCCUCCCUUUAUCUAUCCACAUAUGUCCUCCGUAUUUUCUCGAGCUUCUUAAUGUUAUAAACAUAAACUUAGGCAGCUGUUUAUAAUAUGAUUGAACUAGGAAACCUGUGUAAAGAAUAGAAUUAUACCAUAUCUACUUUCUAUAACUUUGUGUUAUACAUAUUUAAAACAUAUAAAUAUUAUUGUACCAUGUGGUUAUUAUGCAAACAAGCAGUGCUUAUAAAUUAUACUUAAGGUAACUUUUAUAAAAAUGUCACAACUGCCUGGG